rnacentral:rRNA from 1 species
UUGACCUACGGGGGGCAGCAGUGAGGAAUAUUGGUCAAUGGCCGGAAGGCUGAACCAGCCAAGCCGCGUGAAGGACGAAGGUUUUCGGAUUGUAAACUCCUUUUGUUAGAGAAGAUAAUGACGGUAUCUAACGAAUAAGCACCGGCUAACUCCGUGCCAGCAGCCGCGGUAAUACGGAGGGUGCAAGCGUUACUCGGAAUCACUGGGCGUGAAGAGCGCGUAGGCGGGAUAGCAAGUCAGAUGUGAAAUCCUAUGGCUUAACCAUAGAACUGCAUUUGAAACUGUUAUUCUAGAGUAUGGGAGAG